rnacentral:rRNA from 1 species
GACGAACCGAGCGAACGUUGUUCGGAAUCACUGGGCUUAAAGGGUGCGUAGGCGGGCUGCCAAGUUUGAGGUGAAAUCCUCCGGCUCAACCGGGGAAGUGGCGUGGAUACGACCGGGCUGGAGGGGGGUAGGGGGGACGGGAACUCACGGUGGAGCGGUGAAAUGCGUUGAGAUCGUGAGGAACGCCCGCGGCGAAAGCGCGUCCCUGGACCCCACCUGACGCUGAGACGCGAAAGCCAGGGGAGCGAACGGG